rnacentral:rRNA from 1 species
UACGUAGGGCGCAAGCGUUGUCCGGAAUUAUUGGGCGUAAAGAGCUCGUAGGCGGCCUGUUGCGUCCGCUGUGAAAUCCCGGGGCUCAACCCCGGGCGUGCAGUGGAUACGGGCUGGCUGGAGGCAGGCAGGGGAGAACGGAAUUCCUGGUGUAGCGGUGAAAUGCGCAGAUAUCAGGAGGAACACCUGCGGUGUAGACGGCUUUCUGGACCAUUGCUGACGCUGAGACACGAAAGCGUGGGUAGCAAACAGG